UGGGGGUCCCAGGGGUGUUUUGGGCUGUUUUUUGUGGUCCCAACGCUGUUUUGGGGGUCCUAAGGCUGUUUUUGGGGUCCCAAGGCUGUUUUUGGGGGUUCCCAGGUGUGUUUUGGGCUGUUUUUUGGGGUCCCGGGGCAGAUUUUGGGGUUCCCAGGGCUGUUUUUGGGUGUCCCGGGGCAGAUUUUUGGGGUCCCAAGGCUGUUUUUGGGGGUUCCCAGGGGUGUUUUGGGCUGUUUUUUGGGGUCCCAGGGCAGAUUUUGGGGUUCCCAGGGCUGUUUUUGGGGUGCCAGGGGCAUUUUGGGGUUCCCAGGGCUGUUUUUGGGUGUCCCGGGGCAGAUUUUUGGGGUCCCAAGGCUAUUUUGGGGUUCCCAGGGCUGUUUUUGGGGUGCCAGG